rnacentral:rRNA from 1 species
ACUAGCUGAGAGGAGGUGCAUGGCCGUCGUCAGUUCGUACUGUGAAGCAUCCUGUUAAGUCAGGCAACGAGCGAGACCCACGCCAACAGUUGCCAGCUCGUCCUCCGGGAUGGUGGGGACACUGUUGGAACCGCCUCUGCUAAAGAGGAGGAAGGAAUGGGCAACGGUAGGUCAGCAUGCCCCGAAUUAUCUGGGCUACACGCGGGCUACAAUGGGUGGGACAAUGGGUAUCGACACCGAAAGGUGAAGGCAAUCUCCUAAACCCAUCCGUAGUUCGGAUUGUGGGCUGCAACUCGCCCACAUGAAGCUGGAAUCUGUAGUAAUCGUGUCUCAAAAUGGCACGGUGAAUAUGUCCCUGCUCCUU